UACGAAGGGGGCGAGCGUUGUUCGGAAUUACUGGGCGUAAAGGGCGCGCAGGCGGCUCUGGAAGUCAGAUGUGAAAGCCCCGGGCUCAACCCGGGAACUGCGUCCGAUACUGGUCGGCUUGAAUUCGGGAGAGGGAUGCGGAAUUCCAGGUGUAGCGGUGAAAUGCGUAGAUAUCUGGAGGAACACCGGUGGCGAAGGCGGCAUCCUGGACCGACAUUGACGCUGAGGCGCGAAAGCCAGGGGAGCAAACGGG
rnacentral:rRNA from 1 species